rnacentral:rRNA from 1 species
UACGUAGGGUCCGAGCGUUGUCCGGAAUUAUUGGGCGUAAAGAGCUUGUAGGCGGUUUGUCGCGUCUGCUGUGAAAUUUCGGGGCUCAACCCCGAACUUGCAGUGGGUACGGGCAGACUAGAGUGUGGUAGGGGAGACUGGAAUUCCUGGUGUAGCGGUGAAAUGCGCAGAUAUCAGGAAGAACACCCGUGGCUAAGGCGGCUCUCUAGUACGGUACUGACGCUGAGACGCGAAAGCGUGGGGAGCGAACAGG